rnacentral:tRNA from 1 species
GUGCGGGAUAGCUCAGCCG